AAGAAAGAGGACUACUUCUUGACUUGUUGGAUGGGAAAGGAUAGCACUCAGGACGAUCAGCGAAUGGCUCUACAACUGGCUACUAAAAUGUGGAUCUCCUUGAAAAGGAGACCAGUGCAGGGAUGCAUAUUUCAAGGGAAAGAGCCGCUACAAUUCAUCAUACUUUU